UACGAAGGGGGCUAGCGUUGCUCGGAAUCACUGGGCGUAAAGCGCACGUAGGCGGAUUGUUAAGUCAGGGGUGAAAUCCUGGAGCUCAACUCCAGAACUGCCUUUGAUACUGGCGAUCUUGAGUUCGGGAGAGGUGAGUGGAACUGCGAGUGUAGAGGUGAAAUUCGUAGAUAUUCGCAAGAACACCAGUGGCGAAGGCGGCUCACUGGCCCGAUACUGACGCUGAGGCACGAAAGCGUGGGGAGCAAACAGG
rnacentral:rRNA from 1 species